GCGUCGGUGGUGCAACGGUUAGCAUAUGCUCCCGGGAAGGGCAAGAUCUAGGUUUGAAUCUCGGCUCGUGGA